CCUGAGCAGAGGGUAAAGCAUCUGCCUGCAAUGCAGGAUACCCAGGUUCAAUCCCUGGGUCAGGA
rnacentral:tRNA from 1 species